rnacentral:lncRNA from 1 species
AGAGUGAUGAAGAUCAGCUCUGAACAGGACUUGAGUAUGAAGAUUUCCAGCUGGAAGAGGACUGGGUCACACAGGUUGUGUCCAAGGUGAACAGCUCACUUACUGUUAGCCAGUGCGGAAGAUCAGACAGUACUGGUUUGUAGAAAAACUCCAUAAUUAGCUGAAAAGCAAACCUCAGCUCAUAAUCCUGUUUAAACUGAGAUCAGAAAGAGCCUUCUGAAAGUAGGGUGUAUUGACCUACGGAUGUUAGUCCUGAGGCUGGUCCAGAAAUCAACCUUGUUGCAAAACGCUUGGCAGGCUUUGUGCUCAUUUGGGAAAAGGCAGGUAAUAACUAAGGAGGGUAAACAAUAACUCUGCAAAUGCAAUGAAAUUUUCAGGAGGAAGUGUUGAGGCAACAAAUUGCAAAGAUCUCUGUAGUUCCCCGAGAGUCGCUAAAUAGGCUUUAUCCUCUCUUCCAGGCAGAGUCCUUUAUUCAGUGAACCCUGGCACUGGCAACCCGAAAGGAAGCAACUCCUCUUCCAAACACCUGAUGCAAGAUUAACAAAUGAAGCAGAUCAAAGGCUUUUAUGAAAGAAAGGGAAUAUUUCCUGAAUGGUUCAAGUGCAUAGCAACAUGAUGUAAUUCAGAAUAGAAGUGCAAUUUAUGAACGUUCCUCUUAACCUGAAGCUUGGCAGGAACUGCGCUUCCCUGGCAAUUGGUAAGAAAUGUGCAACUACUAUGAAAGGAACAAGUUCCUUUAAAAGGAGGCAGUUUAGACUAACCAAUAAGAUUUUUAAGUGGCAAGACUGACACAGUAAGUCUUAAAAGUAAGAUAUUUUUACAUGUUUUCAAGAUAGAAUGAUGACCACAAGUGCCAGAUGUGCUGUCUAAUUGGUUUUGGCCAAAGAGCACAUGCGCAGAGCAGCCAUGAGGCAUGACAGGAAAUGGAACAUGGGAAUUCCAAGCAAUUUGCUGUCCAGUCUUCCAGUCAUCAGCCCGUGGUAUUUCAGUGUGGAGGCAGCGUGUCGCUGCUGUGCAGGGCCAGCCCUGUAACACUGUACAUGUGCCAGACUUGGGAAAUAAAAGAGGCCUUGUUCUGCUUCAACGUCAGCCUUGUCCAGCAUCACGCAGUGACACUUGGAGGCCUUCCAAGAAUGUGUGUCACAGGCCCUGCUAGAGCAGAUACCAAAGGAGCAUAACUGCUGCACAGCUCUGCGCCCUAACAAGGUUCUCCUGUACAUGCACGUUUGGAAAGUUACUGCUGAGUAAGGAAAGAACGUUUGAAGACACCUCUAUCCAAGGACCUACAUGAAAUGCAUGCUGUGGUGGUUUUUCCUAGUACCAAAUUUAAGUGAAGAAUAUAAUAGAAGUAGCAGAAGAUGACAUUUGCUUUAGGAGAGUACUGAGGAAAGGGUAAGCAGGAUCUAAUAAACAUGACAUGCUUGUUGAGGUGUUUUAAACA